GCCUGGGUGGCUCAGUUGGUUAAGCGUCCGACUUUGGCUCGGGUCAUGAUCUUGCGGUCCGUGGGUUCGAGCCCCGUGUCGGGCU
rnacentral:tRNA from 1 species